GCGCACUACGGCCUCGUUCGCACGCUUGGCCAUUUACACAGAGAACCCCUCAUCCAAAUCCGCGAUAAAGUCGUCUCAUCAGCUCAGCUCACGUGUCCGGGACGAGCAGCAUCUCUUCAAAGUGAAGCAUACAGGCUGCACAGCACGCUGCGCCCAGGUCCGAUAGGCUGUCCAAGAUCAGGCUACUACAGGUCGGUGCGCCCGUGCGCGCGUAGAGAAACCGGCCAUUUGCAUAGCGCAGCAUAACUUGGGCUUCUCUACAGAGCUUCACUAAACAGCCUUCUAGUUUUUGCCUUGGUUGGUGCACAGGCGUUUACUAUUCCACCUCUUCACAACGACAACGCGUGAAGCCUAUGUGGCUUUCGACUUCAAACUCUCCCAGUUCUCGGAGAGUGUAGGGCGGUAAAGAGAUGCUGAGUACCUGGCUCCCACCAGCAUGGAGUUGGAGCAGAUAAAGCAGUUUAAUAUAAAUGAAAAACCUCACUUUCACUACUUGAGUUUAGCAAUAUUUAAAUAUAAAAAGCAGAUCGAAUCUAUUUUAUCCCAUUUGAGUAAUGCUUUUGUCGGGUGACCUUUUUAAAAGAAACAUAUAAAAAGCAGAAAACCUUUUUUCCUCUGUGAGGAAAAUGGCUUAAACAAGCAAACUAUAGAUGCAAUGACAUUUUGAACACUUAAAUUCCAGGUGAAUUGACUUCCUGUCUCCUUCAACGAAGAGGACCUUAGCAAAUGCAACAAGUAUAUGUUUGCGAAAAGAGGAAGAAAAAGUAAGCAUACACAAAUUACUUUUUCAUGCAACGAACCCGUCACCGUUCUUGGAACCGAGGGGAUGAACAUCUGAGACGGCUUACGAUGCAGGAAUAGGAUCAUGUUGGUUCAUCGGAUAAAAAGGUCCAGAGAGGAGACAGUGGGUGAGGCCUGUCUCUUCUAAAGCACCCUGUGUCCUGAGCAGAACUAGGUCAACAGAGACCGUUGGUUGAUUCACACCCUCACAUCACGAAGAGCCCUCCCUCAUUCCCUUCCUAUCUCUCAUCCCUGCUCCUCUCUGUCCCACACUACAUGCCUCUCUAUUUAUACUGUUGAGUCAGUUUGCCACUGACAGCAGUGAGUGAUAAGGAAGAUUGAAUCAUCAUGUAUUAGAAACACAAGCUUUCUUUUACCAAUACUCUCUUAAAGGGGAAACACUGAGUGUUACUGGCAGUUAGUGGAAAGGUUCAGAGAUAAGACCAGCUACAAAGAAAAUUAGGCUCAAUCAUAAUCGAUGUUAUAAGCAGAUUAAAGCAGGCAAAUUUACAAAGAGCACAAUCAGCGUGUUCCCAGUGGAGUGUCCUCAGCAUCGGCAGUGGCUGCAGAGAAGGAGAGAUGUAUCGCUCCAGCAGGAUGCUGGUCCAUAGGUGUCUAGUUUCAGAUGGCAGGCAUGCUGGGAGCACAGUGUGGAGCACAGCACAGCCAAGUGGACAACAAUGGAACACGCAGAGACACAGGUGUCCCUACCACGAACCCAAUGUAAGACAGAUAAUGUUUAUUUGUGAACCUGGGUCCAUGUGUAUAAAUGGUAAUAUGUUGAUGUGCAUGCAGCAUGUGUUUUUUACACUGCUGUGCUUUUACAAUCUUUGUUCUCAUGUAGAUUAUGUAUUCAUGUGUGUGUUUGUAUUAGCUCUCUGAUAUUGAUUCAGUAUUACUGUAGUAGCACUUAAGCAGCACUCAUGCAUGCUUCCCUCAGGACUCCAACACCUGCAAAUGGAAAUGAAGUAUUCCUAAAAUUAAGGUGAAGAUCGUGAAGUGCAAUAUAAGUAAGAACAGAAGGCCAGCAUGCAGAAAAUAAAGAACAGAAAUUCAUAUCACAAUCUCUCACAGUGUCCAUUUACAUUUUUCUUUUGCUUUAUGUACAAAUCUCACUCCAUUUCUUUCUUGUUCUCUCCCUUUAACUCACUGGAGGAUGCUAACCCAUCAGGUCCCAUGGCUCCCCUCCAUGGGAUGAUGUCAUUUCAGAUGACAUCACCAUGCAGUGUAUGUGUGUUUGUGCUAUGUGUAUGAGAACACCCCCCACCCCCAUCCUUUCCACCACUCUUCCUCCUCUUCCCCCUGCAGCUCUGCUUCUUUCCUCCUAGGAAAGGUGCUGUUUGACACACACCCGCUAUACCCAGACCAUCCGGCCAACUACCAUGCUUGCACAAGAGCUUUUAGAGCGCAGGGUCAAGGAGAAUGAGAGAGACAGACACGGACUGCCAUGAAGGCAAAAACACACGUACAUACACAAAAGAAGGAGGUGAGGUGGUGUUUAGAGUGGCAGUUGUGUGAUGUGAGGGUACAGAAAGAACCGUAGAGGUGUGGCGAGGACUCAGCGAAGGGAUGGGCUCUGAGAGCCGAGUCAGUUUAAUUACACAACAUUGCUGCCACUAUAACACCACAAAGCCCAGGCAUAAACUGUCAUUAAGAUAAAAAAGUAGUACACGGAGGAGUGCCACAGACUGUCUGAAUUCUUCUUGGCUCUAUUGUUUGUUGUUAACACAGUUAUAUAUAAAACUUAAUAGCCUGGUUCAAAUUUCUGGAAAACAAAUGAGUUUAAAAGAAUAAAACAAAAUUGAAGGAAAUAGGCCUAUUUACUUCCUGCAGUGAGCAAAUUGUGGGUUCCAUUUGAUGGGAAAAGUUGGAAUUUCAAAGUUCCGAAUAGGAAACAUAAGAAUUUUCCCCCAAUGUGGAUUUCUGAGUCAUGGACUCUGGGUGUAAACUCUGGGCAAAAAACAUAGUAAAGAUGUAGUAAUAUAUAUUUAUUGCCACUUCCUAAUCUAGUGAGUGAAAAAACUCUUGGUUUUCUGACUUGUAAAACUGGAAAGUAGCCUUUUUUAGGUUUGAUGCCAUUGCUAGCUCUGUCAUGGGCUUGUCAGGAAAAUAUAAACACAUCACAACUUCAUUUCAGAUUAAAUAUUAGGUUAGUUUGUAGGCAGUUAGCUUAGCUUAAGGUACAUUCCAUUUAAACCAGGCAGCCAAAUUCCCAAGGUGAUAUUUGACCUUGAACCAUCCCUUCUCCUUGUCACAAAUCUGGCUUAGAAAAAAAAAAAAUCUCACUAAUGCAGAUGAGCAUUUGCAAAGUUAGUUUCUUUCCUUAGGAGUGUUCUGAGUAAGAUUACCCAGAUGGAUCUAUGUGACUGCCAUGUGGAAUAAUACUUCCAUUAAUCUCAUAACAUCUUUUUAACAAGAACAAGAAAAAAAAAAAUGCUUUGAAAAAUAUGUUAGAUUUUUAAUGACCAUAAACAUACAUAAGAUGGCUAUCUUACACAUAGUUAUUAAAACUGUUGUAUUAUAAGAUUUUUUUUAUCCAUUUGUCUAUGUGUGUGUCACUGAAUGAGUCCCACACACAAUACUGUUCUCCUUCUAGUUAUGACGAUAUUUCUGUGAUUUCCGUUCCUAAAUCCAGAACAAGUUCUUUACAAGCAUUGCUAACCUGGAUACUCUGAGCAAAUGUAAUUUGUUCUGCUAUUUGAUUAACUGGAACAUGUUCAAGUGAAGGGAAUUAUGAUUUCUGAGUUGAAUUAAAUUAAAUACAAUUAAAUGGACAGUAACUGUGUGGUUACAGUACACAGUUAGUCAGCUUAGCUAAUCUUAGCUUAGCUCAUAGACAGGUGUCUGUGCAAUGUCAUCACAGAAGUAUGUACACAACCAGAGGGUAGAAAGUAGUGCACAAUCUUUGGUAGAACCAAGAUCCAAAACAGUGAUGUCAGGGCAGUUAACUUUACCUAUCAACUAAAAGAUGGACGCAAAUCAUUUCAAAUGUCACAGAGAACUCUUUGCUGAAAGCAGUAGAAAAUUGUAGAUCCACAAAGAGCAGACUGACAUCCCAUGAGUUUCUGCAUUGCUCCUGUUGUGUGUCAAAAUGCAAAGCUCUGAUUCCAAGACUUAUUAAGCUACCAGAGCAUAAAUAUACAGUAUAUGCAUCUAAAUAUUAGCUCGUACACAUGUAAAAACACUCAGUGACAUUUUAUGUAAUGUGUUUCAGAUCAUGCAGUUAUUAAUUCUGGGAAAAUGGCUGGAACUGAUCAAUAAAUCUGU